GAUGAACGCUGGCGGCGUGCCUAAUACAUGCAAGUCGAGCGAACGGACGAGAAGCUUGCUUCUCUGAUGUUAGCGGCGGACGGGUGAGUAACACGUGGAUAACCUACCUAUAAGACUGGGAUAACUUCGGGAAACCGGAGCUAAUACCGGAUAAUAUUUUGAACCGCAUGGUUCAAAAGUGAAAGACGGUCUUGCUGUAACUUAUAGAUGGAUCCGCGCUGCAUUAGCUAGUCGGUAAGGUAACGGCUUACCAAGGCAACGAUGCAUAGCCGACCUGAGAGGGUGAUCGGCCACACUGGAACUGAGACACGGUCCAGACUCCUACGGGAGGCAGCAGUAGGGAAUCUUCCGCAAUGGGCGAAAGCCUGACGGAGCAACGCCGCGUGAGUGAUGAAGGUCUUCGGAUCGUAAAACUCUGUUAUUAGGGAAGAACAUAUGUGUAAGUAACUGUGCACAUCUUGACGGUACCUAAUCAGAAAGCCACGGCUAACUACGUG
rnacentral:rRNA from 1 species